UCUGAGCCCGAGGUCCCAGGUUGGCAGCAGCUCCGAGGGCAAGCUCUGUCCGGCCAGCGUCCACCCCAGGGAGCUCUGGGCUGUGGAGGAAGGUCAGGGGCCAGCUUGGAGAGGAAGGAGGGGCACAGAACACAGAGGCCCUUGGGCUGGUGCCUUGGUCAGCAAGAGGGGUCUCCCCAGGCCUCAGGCUGUGGCCACAGAGGGACCCCUUGGGGCUGGCUCCUUCUGGGGGCCUGGGGCAGGACUGGUGGCCACCUGCAGCAGCCGCAGGGCAGGUGGUUGGCAGAGGAUCCAGGAUGUCAGUCCCUCCUGGAUCUUGCCUGAGCUGGGCAGGGGAGCGUGGGGGAGAGGGCAGGCUGCCUGCGGCAGUUCUGAGCCCAGAAUGGCUGCGCACCUUCCCCUCCCUUCCCCCCACAGCGGCCACACCGGGGGAGGCAGCAUCCCCCACUUCUGUAGACUAGGAAACUGAGGCCCACGGCAGCAGGAACCGUGCCUCUGUCCCCCACACUCCAGAGACCUCUCGGGACUCAGAACCCCACGGGGGGAGGGAGAGCGCCAGGCCUGGGCACCAGCACAUCUGCCCACUGUUCCUGCGGGACCUCCGGACCCCACUCCAGCCGAGCGUCCUCCCCUGCUGGCCGCUGUGUCAGCCCACAGGAGGGCGUCCCUGCCCAGGCCCCAUGGGGUCCCUGACCCCAACUGGCAGAGCCCAGCACCGAGGCUGCGAGGGGGACCCGGGCCCAGCAGCAGGGGCUGGUCACAGAGCCGAGGUGGGGCCUUCCGUCCAUCAGUGUCCACGUGGGCCAGCCAAGUUGGCAAGGCGAGAAAGCCCAGGGCCCCUCUGAGGGCACCGCAGUGUCCGGCACCCCUCGGCCUCACUCACCAGUGCUGAGCAGGGCUCCGCAGCAGGACAGCAGCAGCCACGGCCGGAGCAUGGUGCACGGUGGAGAGGAGCUCGCGCUGGGCCCGGCAGGCCUGCUGCUGCCACCCGUGCGGCUCCAAUGGCCAGUCCUGGGAGCCUUAUAUAGGGUGGUGGGCCCUCCCCCGCCGCACCCGCCUGCGCCCCACGGUCCAGCCCCUUAAUCACCACUGCUGGCGGGCGCAGCGGUGGCCAAACAGGAUCUGGGCCUGCUUUAUCAGGACUCGGCUUUCUUUGGAAAAUCCUGCAGGCAACGGUCCCAUUAUCACCCACUCCCAGCGGGGGCUGACGCACGCACACCCCCGAAGGCCCUGCAAACACCCCCCACAUCGGGGCCAUCCCGGCCGGGCCCUCCCCGCUGCUGGGUCAACGUGGGCCCUGUCAGCCACCCGCCUGGUGGCCGGACAGGCCCGCUGGGGGAGGUAGGGGCCCUGGGGCACCUGCUCUGCCCCUUCUGGGGGGACCAGUGCUGACCCAGCUGGGGGGAGCCCUGCUACACCUGAAUCCCAGGGCCCCCGAAGGGCACUGGGCCCACCCCCACCCUGAGUCCCAGGACCCCUGAAGGGAGCUGGGUCCACCCCUCACCCUGAGUUCCCUGCCCAGCAGGAAAGAUCACCCAACAGGAGGGACCAUGCCAGGGGGCGUUGAGGACUGGGUGGACCCUGCCAGGGGGCAUUGGGGAGCAGGGGAUUUGCCGUCUGGGACAGACAACAGCCUUGGGGCUCAAACAGGCUGCCCUGGAGGCCUGAGGAGCUACCGUGUCUCUGUAGCCCGCCGGGUCCCAGGCUCGCUCCUGAAGACCCCUCCACAGCUAUUUUCUUCUCCCCCGAGCACUGUCGGCGGCCGUCUUGGGCACAGAAGCUCAGGGGCCGCUUGUCUGCUGGGGCAUCUGUGCAGGGCUGUGGGGUCGCUGGUGUGCUCCUGGGGGCAGGAACUGGGAUGACCAGGAGGCCUCACCUGUGGAGGCACGUGCCACGCCUGAGGGGCCAGGGCAAAGUCUGGGGACAUCGGGGUGGUGCCGGUGGCUGGCAGUGUGGGAGGGAGGUGGAGGUCUGAGCGGUCGCCGGGAUUGCCCCAGCCUCAUUUGGGAGCCCAGGGACCCCUCCCGCAGGGGAUUUUGGCCCCCUACCCCAACAGGAGCCCUUGCUGGCCUUGGGGCCAUUCCCACCACAUGCCAGCAUCCCAGCCUGAGCCAGGAGGGCCCCGAGGCCACCUGGUCUCCCUGGGCUGGGUUUCCCACAUGGGGCUGCACCCCCGUCCCACAGGUGAGCUGAGCCCGCUGGCUGGGACCUGGGCCUGCCACCUCUGUCCCACCUGUGCCCACUCGCCGGGGAGCCGCCCCGCCUGCCCCGGAAGAGGCUCCAGGGCCACACGUGCCCCACGCGGUAGGUGUCAGGUGUUUCACUUAAAUCAGCUUGUUUUGCAGAACGUUGCUUGAAAUUACAAUAAGUUGUUUUCGUAGGAAAUUACUGUACGUGUGCUACCCACCCCGAGAGCCCCACACCAGGCAUUCUGGGUGUUCCUGCUCUCAUCUGUUCUUUUUAUUUUUUAUUUUUGUAGAGACGAGGUCUCACGUUUUCCAGGCAGGUCUUGAACUUCUUGGCUCAAGAGAUCUCCUGCCUCAGCCUCCCAGAGUGCUGGGAUGACAGGCGUGAGCCACUGCAUCUGGCCUUGGCUGUCCCUUCUUAACACGCUCAGUGGCCCCUGUGGUUCAGGUGCCUCCAGGAGGCUUCCCUCAGAGGAGGCUGAGGCCCUGGGUCUGCUGGGACUCGUAUUCACGGAGGCGCUGGGAUGGACCUGCUGGUGGCCCCCUGCCCCUCGGCCAGCCCCUUCCCCGCCUCUGCCCUGCUGGGCCUUGUGGUCAGGUGUGACGUCCCCUGGAGGAGAACAGGUGGGGCUUCACCCCCAGAGGCUUGGCAGCUGGUCCCCAUCAGAUCAAAGGACUGAAAGCUGUGGCUUUGGGGAGUGUUCGGGAAAGAUUUCAAGCCCGGGAGUGGGCACGCGCCCAGGCUCGGAUCCCUGCCAUAUCCCGUCCGAGGCGCGGGUCCAGUGCUGGCCGGCAGAGCUCAGCAUGGCCAGCCAGUGCCCAGGUGCAUGCCCGAGGGGGCGCGCCACGGCUUCCUGUUGAUCCGGAUGCCCGAUGUCUUGGGAGGCACUGACCCUGUGCCAGGUCCUGGAGCCCACUGCUUGGGGAGGUGGUGGGAACCCCGAGACCCUGGGGACAGAGUGGCUGGAUGCAAAGUCCCCCAAGGGGCAGGGGGAUGGCAGGGAAGGGGCGUCAGGCCUGGGGGGAAGUCACCUGCCCCACCCUCCCUCCAAGGCCCUUGUGUGGCUGGGUGGGGCUGGCCCUGGGUCUUCUCCCUCUCCCCCGUCCCUGAGCGUCACUGGUGACCUCCCUGUGGACUUGUCCAGCUUGCCAGUACCCUGUGGUUUCCUGCGGUUUUACCUCCUGAGCAUGUUGAAACACUCCUAGUCCAGUUCCUGCCUGUGGCCACCCCCAUCGAAUCUGGCCUGCUGUGGCCCCCACCCUGCAGCCACGCGUGUGUGGUGCCCACUCAUCGUCUCCAGCACCUCAGAGGAGGCCCUGCCUGGCUCUAACACUCCCUGAGCUCUGACCUCUAUUCCCCUCCCUGGCCAACUCCUGCUCCUCCACCAGCCUUGCAGACCCCCCACCUCAGCUGCUGGAGUCCACCCUGCUGGAGGUAGAAACAGAGCCAGCUGCAUGCCACAGGUGAGGGCCUUCCCCAGGGCCUGGGGAGGGCCAGCAUGACCCCGGGAGGGCAGCUCACCCGGGCGACCACCAGCCCACCCUCCUCAGUGAGGCCCCACAGCCCCUGUCCAGUGAUGUUCGAGGGCCAGGGCUCCCUGGGCAUCCACCUGUCUGCACUUUCAGACUCGACUGCUUGGUGCCUGGGCUGGGAUUUGGGGGCACUGCCCCUCCCCCGUAUCCCCGGGACCCCCUUCAGGAGCCGGACACUCAGGUGUGCAUAGCCCCCACCCCCAGCCCAGCCCCAGCCCUGUGCUGUCCGCUGCCCACAGUCCACUGUGUGGCUUCGAGUGGACCAAAGGUCUUGUCUGGCUGCAGGAGGGGCCCUGGUAGUUGCUGGGCCUGGAGGUCGCUAGGAUGCUGGGCCUGGCCCCGGCUGGGAUGCUGGCCUGGAGGUGGCUGGGAUGCUGGCCUGGCCCCCACGUCCAGGGCAGGUUGAGGAGUGACCAGCAGGAACCACUGCCUAACGCUGGGCUCAGCCCAGGCCGGUAGACUCACGUUCCAGAAAGGGCUGGGGAACUUGCCACCUGCCCUCCUCCAGAGACGGGCCCUUGUCCUUUUUGUCUACUUAUGCCCCGUGCAGGAAGCAGGUCACGGUGGGCCGGGGCCCUCAGGAGCAGACACGUUUCAGCCGGGGGCGGGGGCAGGAUACUGGCUGCUGGGGCCAUUGACGCGGCACCACAGGAGGGGUCCUGGCCAGGUCACCCCUCCCUCCAGGUGGGAGCUUAGCUGGGGCGGGAUUCCCACCUCCCUGGGUGAGCAUUGCCGGCCGGUAACCUUGGGCAGGCACCCAGGAGAGGCCCCUGGCCUCAGCUCCUCUCACACCUUACUUGGGUACCUCUGAGCCCCAGGGUAGGUGGCCGAGUCAUCUCCCCGCUUGGCACCCCAAAUGCCUUCUCCCCUUUUCCCAUCCCAUGGGAGGUGGCUGUGUGCCACAGGUGAGGGUACAGAGCCCCCAGCUGCUCCCUGGGAGGAGCAGGGCCUGUCAGACCCGCCCCGAGAGUUUCACCCCCUGCCGUGGGGCCCUGAGCAGGCCCUCUUGGGACAGAGCCUUCCGUGCCGGGGUGACUGUGCCCCACCAGCCCCGAGGGGAAGACCAGGAUCCUGAGGGCUGGGCUGUACCUCCGAUGUCCUGGGGCAGAUGUCCAUGCAUUGCCAACUCCAGGCCUGAACCCAAGGCGCCCUCAUCUGAGCACCCACAGGGAGAGGCUGCCAGGACGGCUGGGUGUCCAGCCGACUGCCCCGCCUGGGCUCUGGAGCUGAUAACCAGCGGAUGAGGAGUGAAAUGCAAACAGAUAAGGUUGUUGGGAACUGGGCGCCCUGGGCUGCUCUGGGCUGGCAGCCGUGGGGCACCACACUGCCCGGGGCCAGGGCUUAUCGGGGCACCUUUUGCCUUCAAUGAGUGUGGCUGGACGGGGAGUUAGUAAGGGCUUGCUCUCCGAGGGUGGCUGGUGUGGGGGCUUUGAGGAGGGUGGGGGGACCUUGGACUGCUGACUCGGGGACUCUGGAGGCUGCUGGUCAGGUGGGGGUGGAGGCCAAGCUGGAGCUGAGGCUCAUGAGACCACCUCUUUCCCAGGAAUCCUCAUCCCUCUCAUGGGGGUGACGUUUAUGGGGUCCCUUUGGGGAGCCCAGCAGGGCCCCAAAAGCAGAAGUCAAAUGGCCUCUGAGGGCAGGUGCCACUCACAGCAAGUGGGCUCUGGGCAGCCCAGGGCGAGACGAAGGGCUUCCCGGGCCCCCAGAAAAGCUCCAGGUGUUGCAGCCAGACCCGAGUCUCUCUCAGGAAUCACGUCCAGGGCCCUUCCCAGGCGGUGGGACGUGCAGUGGGGGCAGCCACUGAGGCCCAGGCAAGCAGGGGUGACGGGACAGGUCCUGGUCCAGAGGGUCCUGGGGGAUGCUGGCAUGGCUGGCGUGGCCUGCGGAGAGCCAAGGAGCCCCCAGGCUCACAACAGCUGGCUCUUCGGGUGUUGUUCGGGGGAAACACAGUGGAGGCCAGAAGGGAACAGGCGGUUUCCCAGCCACUCACACCAGGUGCCGGUCCAGGGGAACUUUGGGUCUGAUCUGCUGCCCUGUGGCCGUGAGUGCUGUGUGGCCCAUGGGGGGCCCCGUGCACAUGGCCCGCAGGGUCAGGAGUUGGGGGCCCAGAACACACAGGCCUGGCAGAAGCCCAGGUGGCACAGACGUGGCCCUACAGCUGGGCUCGGGGCUCGGGAAGCCAGAGGCUCAGGCUCUCCCAGCUGGUGUCAGGGCUGAUCGGGGCUGAGACCGGUCAUCAGAGCAGCCCAUGUCCACCGUCCACUGUCUCAGCAGCUCCCCAGGGGUCCCCCAAAGCCCAACCCUCCCCCAGAUGAAAGCACAAGCAGGGCGGCCGAGGAGCACCCCCCGGCUUACCCAGGAGCCUGGCUCAAGACUGGUGGCCAAGUGCACCCUUGCUGUAGUGGCAGCUGCCUCCAGUCCGGACGCCACCGACUCUUGGGGGCAUGGCCAGUGCCUGAGGCGGAUGCGUGCACACACAUGCUCCCAGGAGCUGUUUGUAACAACCCCAACUGGAAAUGACCCAGGUGUCCAUCGGUGGUGAACACAGCGUGGCCCGUUCGUCUGCUCAUCCUGUUUCAGCAAUUACAAACGAAGCAGUAGAACAUGCACGUCUGUGUCUCAGAGGAGCCUGUGCUGCCACUUCUCCCAGUGUGAACUGCUGGAUCACGUGGUUGGCAUCUGAAUUUUUCAGAAACUGCCAAACUGUUUAAUGGGACGGCUGUGCCAUUGUGCCUCCCACCCGUGAUACGCGUUCCAGCCCCUUCUCACCCUCCUGUAUGCUUCGCGUCGUCCGUUUUUAAAAUGUUAGCCAUGCUAACAGGCGGGCAGUGCUAUCUGACUGUGGUUUUAAUCUGAAUUUUCCUAACGACUAAUGACAUUGAGCAUCUUUUUAUGUGUUUAUUUGCCAUCCGCGUAUCUUCUUUGUUGGAGGGUCCGUUCUAACGUGUUGUCCAUUUUAAAACUGGGUUGCUUCGGUGUUGAGAGUUCUUUCUAUAUUCUGCAUUCGAGUCCUUCACUAAAAAUACAUACUUGGCAAGGAUUUUUCUCCCAGUCGGGGCUUGUCCUUUUAUUCUCUUAAUUGUGUCAGAAGAUACUAUUAACUGUCAAAACUUCUGUUCAAAAGAGCGAAAGUUCAUUCUUUCCCUCCCUCCCUCCUUUCUUGCUUUCUUGCUCUUUCUUCCUUUCUUUUUCUUUCUCUCUUUCUUUCUUUCGACG